UAGAGCUCUAAACAGGCUGUAUCUCGCUGACAGCCAGUUUCUUAAAGCAGGUCUAUACACUGCUUUUUAAACAGUCAGCAGAUAUCUGGAGGAAAAGAAUUUUUUGCAUUCGCAUUCAAGUAAAAUAAGCUUGUAUCAUUUUCAGCAUGGUAGGUAGUCAGUGGGGGCGGGCAGAGGUGAAAGCAACUCUUUCAGAGUGCCUGGACAAAGUGUGCCUGUCUUUAAGUGCACCUGACUCUGUCUCAGGUGCAGUCUUUCAAAUCUAAACACUUUUUUUGCUUGUAGUGUUGAUUUUUUUUUUUCUAAUAAUUUCAUUACAACAUAUUGCUGUAACUUGUAACUCAUUGUAAUCAUUUUUUGUUAUGUUUCUAUUACUGAUGAUGACAUUGUUAUAUGUCAAGACUUGUACAUUAUUUCAAAAAAAUUAGAACUCACACAAACAAAAAAGUUGUUGUGGGUUUGUAUGUGUGUGCGUGAUUUCAGUUUUGCCAUAACACUAAGACAUAACAUAAGAGACGCUACUAUCACAAUGUAUAGGCAUUCACUUAUAUCUGUCUACUUUAUGAAUUUCAUGGCGACAAACGAAUUCUUUUAUUUGAUGGCUGCAGCAUUGUAUAUUGAUGUGUUUGUUUUAAUGACUUGAUUUAUGUCUGUUAUUCAACGGAGUAACUUCACUGUACAGAUUUGUUACCCACUUCUCUAAUCUCUAUUAUUUCAAUAUCUCUAUAACUAACUAAAGAUGUGUAUAAAAACUAAAGUAUUCAAUCUGUAUUGGACAAGAAAUGCUGUAAAUUGUUCUUUGACAACAAGUUUUAAAGUUUAUUUUUCUUUGACUGAAGUUUUUUAUUGGCCUGUGGUAUUUUACUCUUUUUUUUUCAUAUCAUUUGUUUCAUUGGGGACACUCAUUGUACACUUGUAAUCAAUUGUUUCUUUCAAUUUAUGUUUUUAUCCUAAUACAAUUAAGUCUUAAGGACAUAGAAGUAAAAAGUGUUCAUUGAGAUUGAGAUGAAAGCAAUAGUAGAGUCAAAGAGUCUAUACAUUGGAGAUGAAAUCAAUGCAGGAGACUUCAAGAUGUUUACAUUGAUAUUCACAAAGAAGUUUUGAAAAAUGCAUCUUCUCAAAUCUUUAAAAGAAACAAACAAAAAAAAUCUUCAUGAAAUAAUAAAAAGGUGUUUCUCUUUUCUUUUUUGUUUUUUCUUUUUUUUUUUUUUU